GCUCCGCAAGCCUCGAGGGGUGGCCACGUAGCCCACGACGCCCACUACCACCAGAGGCGGUGUCUCCACGAUCGUCACCGCCUCUACCUCCUCCCUCUUGGAAAUCUCUGGAAGAGACCCAGAGACAGAGGCAUAGAGUUUCCCCCUCCAGGCCCUCCAGGAAUGGACUAGGAGAGCAGCAGCCAGGCAGCACCUCCCAAGGGGUAGAGCUGGGCCUCCUUGAGUGGAGCGUGGACAAACAUUCUACUUUAACGAUGAUGAAUGUAUGUUGAAGAGAUCUAGAAAAAAGCCUGUAACUUGUCCAAAACCCAUGAUUUGACAGCUGUCACCACUAAGACUGAUACAAUGGGAAAGAGGCCUGUCAGCCAGAGCUCCGGCCCCUGCUGUCUUCGCCAAUCACCUACUGCCUCACAGGACCAAGGACCAAGGACCAUCCCUGCUGGGAGAGACUCCAGAGGCCCACCUGCCCUUCCCCAGGAGGCCGGCUUGCUCCGGCUCCAGCACCCCCAGACCACUGACCAUGGUGGCGGGUCCCUGCAGGUCAGGAACGGAAGGGGCCUCCCCACCAGGCUCCGGAGGUCGAGUGACAGGGCCAGGACAUACAGAAGCCAGAUCCCAGAUUUAGCCCCUGGCAGGGGUGCUAGGUCAUCUGUGGCAGGCACGGUCUCUGGUGCCAGAAACAGGCUUGGCCCAGGGCAGGAUGAAGUGGGGCAUCAGAUGGGCAGCCUGGAGCGGGGACAUUGAGAUAAGGCUGGCACUCUUUUCAAGGGCUCUGGGACUCGGUCACACCCACUUUGUUUUCUGCCUCACGUGACCCUUCCAGGACGUGGACAGCUUGGCCACCCUGGUAGGGGGUCAAGGAACCCAGGCGGCUGCUGAGAGGAGGGCCUCAGUCUAGGCGGCCGACACUGAGGCAGAGGGACCUCCUGUCCUGUCUGAAGGCUGUGAGCCUGAACUGGACAGAUGUGGGGGCGGGGAGGGAUGACACUGCCUGGGUCGUGAUUCACCAUGAAGAGCCCUUGACUCUAAUAGGUAUGAUCCAAAAACAUUCAGAUACGUUUAUGAACUUCAGUUUUGAAUAAAAAAGGGAUUGAAACUGUUC